UAACCAGGAAGUGGCGGCUACGGAACGCAUUCUUUUUGCGUCUUUAGGGGCUGGUGUCCCUAGCAUCUCCUCCCUGAGAUCGGAACGCAGACGCUCAUUGAAGCCACUCUGCCAGCUGAGGGAAACACUGACGACCCUUCUCACGAUUCACGGGCCGGGUCGCAGGGGAGCUCCUCCAGCCUUGAGUUGGAAACCCGGAAGUGCUCUGGCAGAGCGCGGGAUUUGAAUGUGUCUUCAGACACGCCCAGUUCUACAGCUCUGAACAGAAGGCCUGCAAAGGAGCAAGUGGUGUCUACUUUCAGACUUCACCCUCCAGUCAAUAUUUUUCCCCUGAGACAAGAUUUCUCUGUGUAACCUUGGCUGUUCUGGGAUUCAUUCUGUAGAUCAGGAUGGACUCAAACUCAAGAAUUCGGAUGCCUCUGACUCUCAAGUACUGGGAUUAAAGAAUUUUCUUUUGUAUGGAAUUCUUCUGAUUUGCAGGAAUCUGUACGUUUGUAGAAGCAAUAUGCACGAUUUUAAAGCCCCGUCAUGCAAGAGAGAACUUGCCCCCUUCUCCUGAUUUGAAUGGAAUUGAGCUUUAGAAGAACAGGUUCGUGCACAACCUGGAAAUCUCAAAACUGAAUUAAAGGAGAGCUUUGGUUAUUCCACCAAAGUUUGGCUGCAGAGGCCCUGCUGGGGAAGGGGACAGCAAGAGACAGAGGAUUUGAACUCACUCACCCAAGGGCUUACUGAGUUGAGGUGCAUUUCUUGGAGCAAUGAGAAAGGUAACUACUACACCAAUAACGCCAUCAAAAGCUUCUGAAAACCAUCUGACUUCUUCAGAACCUUCCGCAGCCACUACCAGCAACUCAUCAUGCAAAUGGCUAGAGUUGCUAUGCAGACUACAUUAUUUCCUGUUUUCUUCAGUGUGCAGUGAAAGUCUAUCAGAUACGUCCUCAAGAUUUUCCCGAACAUCACCCUAAACCCUGCAAUCUUGGGCUCCUCUGCUGAUUAUCACCAAUUGCCUCAUUCAGAUGUUUGGUUUUUAAACAAUGGUGAAUUGAAGUUUGAUUUCAUUCAACCUUCCAGUAACUUUAUACCAUGACAGACUCGACAGAGUAGCUAGCUCUCUCUGGAUUUGCAAGAGAAGAAUUGUAUGAUAUAUUUACCCCUGCAAGUGCAACUGUGUUUUCAGGGUUUGUGAGCUGAUGGAUUACCUACCCCAGAGUGCAUAAGAAACAGAUACCAGGAUAAAUAGCAGAAGAAAAUACAGUAUGAAUUAAAUAUAAAUCACUGGAAGAUAAUAGAUCUCACUGGUGUUAGUUGGUCUUGUUGUCAAUGCAGGACUCACCCUUGCAAGAUGCCUCCCUGCAGCUGGCCUCCAGAUUCACCACUGGCCCUCUGCACUGCUUGGGGACGGGGCACAUGGCCCAGGCUGCUUCAGAUCCAGAGGUGGUGACCUGGAAGCCUCCCGCCAGUGGCCUCCGGAUGGAUCCUGUGGCCUCCGGAUAAAUCCUCCACUUUACCGGGCCAGAGGGACUCACCCGAGCAAGGUGCCUCCCUAUGGUCGUCUCCUGAUGCACUGCCGGCCCUCUGCACUGCUUGGGGACCGGACGGGUAGCCCAGGCUGCUUCUGAUCCAGAGGUGGUGACCAGAAGGCUCCUGCCAGAAGCUGACUGCUUUCGUUUUAAUUCCUGGUGUGGGAUAUGAGGUUGCUUCAGAUUGCCCACAGCAGCUGACUAUGAUUUGUCUUGUGCUGUCUCAGUGGUGUGAUUUUGCCAGUAGCAGAUAGUUUCUGGGAUUGUGUUUGGAAUUCUGGGCACCGUUCAGAUGCUAUAUACAUGCUAGGGCUCUGAGAGGCCCGGUGAGUUGUUGGUUAGUUGUUGGUUGUCCAGUUUGUAAAGUAGUCAUGCACAAAGAAAUUAGAUAUUCUGGUGGGGAAGACCAAACUUGGCCCAAGGAAUUCAAUUCACCUAAUGAGCAGGAAGUACUCUAAUGAUAAAUUUACCCCCUUUCCAACCCUUGACUAUAGUCAAGGUUAUUUUUUCCUUUCCUCUCUAUCCCAUUUUUCUGUCUUAUUUAGUGUCGCAACAUUGAAAGGGUAGAAGAAAAGGAGUGUGUGUGUGUGUGUGUGUGUG